UACCCAUGGCGUGAAGUUGCCAUUUAAAUUAGAGUUUUGAAGCUUAUGCUUACCUUUAAUCAAGCUAAGUACAAAGUACUAUAAAUGGUCCGAGAAAAGGCAAGCAAAUAGCUCCUUGGCGAAUAAGAAUCAAGGUAGUUGUUUGUUUUUCCUUGUUGUGGACCAUAUAUAUAGUAGCUUGUACUUGUUGCGGCCAAUCCCCUGUUACUUGUCAC
rnacentral:lncRNA from 1 species